rnacentral:rRNA from 1 species
AACGAACGCUGGCGGCAUGCCUAACACAUGCAAGUCGAACGAACCCUUCGGGGUUAGUGGCGCACGGGUGCGUAACGCGUGGGAAUCUGCCCUUUGCUUCGGAAUAACUCAGGGAAACUUGUGCUAAUACCGGAUGAUGUCUUCGGACCAAAGAUUUAUCGGCAAGGGAUGAGCCCGCGUAGGAUUAGGUAGUUGGUGGGGUAAAGGCCUACCAAGCCGACGAUCCUUAGCUGGUCUGAGAGGAUGAUCAGCCACACUGGGACUGAGACACGGCCCAGACUCCUACGGGAGGCAGCAGUGGGGAAUAUUGGACAAUGGGCGCAAGCCUGAUCCAGCAAUGCUGCGUGAGUGAUGAAGGCCCUCGGGUCGUAAAGCUCUUUUACCAGGGAUGAUAAUGACAGUACCUGGAGAAUAAGCUCCGGCUAACUCCGUG